AUGGAAGGGCUCCUUCACUGGGAUUUCAGCCCUGGCCUUGCAGUGGCCGAUCAGGUACGUCGUCGGUCUGGAGAGACGGUGCACUUCUCUCCUUCACGCAAGACCAAGGAGUUUUUCUUGGUUGUCUCCUUUUCUUCAGCCUCUUUCCCCCUCAAUGAGGAAUCUGUGGGUGUGGCUCUACAAUGCUGCAUUGGUGGUCAUCAUCUUGGUUUUAAGGUCUCUGAGAUUUUUGAGAGGUCCUUUCGCUUCUCUGUGGCCGGAAACAAAGUUGGUCAUUGCAUACAUGGCCUCAAGCUCGUAUUUGGCCAGACUUCAUUUGUCACUUUCAUCUGUUCAAUGGUCGUUUCAAUGGUUUUAAGCAUUUGGAUUAUCGUUGGCAUGCGGAUGAAAGAAUAG
rnacentral:rRNA from 1 species